UUAGCUGGUCUGAGAGGAUGGCCAGCCACACUGGAACUGAGACACGGUCCAGACUCCUACGGGAGGCAGCAGUGGGGAAUAUUGGACAAUGGGGGAAACCCUGAUCCAGCAAUGCCGCGUGUGUGAAGAAGGCCUGAGGGUUGUAAAGCACUUUCAGUGGGGAGGAGGGUUGAUAGGUUAAGAGCUAAUUAACUGGACGUUACCCACAGAAGAAGCACCGGCUAACUCCGUGCCAGCAGCCGCGGUAAUACGGAGGGUGCGAGCGUUAAUCGGAAUUACUGGGCGUAAAGGGUGCGUAGGUGGUUUAUUAAGUUAUCUGUGAAAUCCCUGGGCUUAACCUGGGCAGGUCAGAUAAGACUGGUAGACUCGAGUAUGG
rnacentral:rRNA from 1 species